GCUGUCCAAAUACAGGAUCAAAUAGAGACCGUCAAUACUACUAGGAACAACCCUAAACAAAAACUCAGAGAAAAUAAAUUAGAAGCAUAUUUCAAAUCUGAUCCGAUAGGCGCCCUGCAAGAACUGUGUAGGUCUCGAGAUUGGAUACUUCCGAAAUAUCAGUUUUUUAAAGAAGGUGAUAGCAGGACGUUCACAUACUCGGUUGUGUGUACUGUAUUGUCAUUCACUGUCAGGGUCAAUGGUGUGCAUAAAAAAAUUGGCAAACGACAAGUCGCUACUGAAAUGUAUCACAAAAUAAAAA